AUUUGCGGGACACCAUUCAGCCCAGAGCACUGACUGGUGCUAGUUGUAUUUGUGUGUCUGGCUGUACCUUGUGAUCACCUGGUUGAUGUCAUGUUCCUGAACUUUUGUGAGUGCAAGAGAAGAGAAGGAAGAAGUACAUCCAGCAGAAAAGUCAGAACAGAAAGCACCUGAAAUGUCCAUUGCCCAUGAGAGUUUCACUUCUAGCCCAUACUUUGAAUUAAUGUGAAUUAAUUUCAAGGAAAAGAAGCUUAGGUACUUAUUCUGACGUUUACUGAUAACACUACCAAUGACUGGCAGAAACAUGCUAGGAUCUGAUCAUCGAGCUGUCUAGAAUCCUGCUGAUGAGGUCACGGCAGGACAGGGGCACGCAGCCAAUUGAAGUGGAGAUCCACGCAGGGAAGUUGGAUUUUUAACAGAGCAGAAAACAGCAUUUAAUUUCUUUUAAAAAAUCUGCAAAGAGCUCUUACUAAGGUUCAGUCUGAUUUUUUUUUGCUUGUACAACUAG